GUGUGCUUACUUAAGACACCAAUAAUCUAAAGCAAUUAAUUUCUGUGAAUUUCAGCUUUUCUCUAGACUUUAUUACCAAAGAUUGAGAUUGACUGCAUGCAGGCAUGUAAAGGAUGCAAUCAGUCCCUUUACCUCAAGGACACCACACAGCAACAGCUCAAAUAGUAACAGUUACACUGCAUAAAACCACAAAGCAAAACAGAGCUUUGCAUCUGAUAACUGGAACAUGACACAAGAACGUAGAAAUAAUUUUUUCUAACUCCUAAUUCCACAGAAUCUUAUUCCACAGAAACAGUUCUAUACAUGUGUUGUGGGGCAAAGCUAAUCAAAUGGCAAACGGUGAGUCUUCUUCGGCUGGAGAAUCCUUUAAACACAUGAAAAAAAAAGUGGGGGAUUUACAGUUUUCUUAGAUCAUCCAUGCCAUGGACAUAGCUGGGGAAAAAGCUGAUCCACCUUUCCACCAGAGGACCCCUCAGCUGCUGGGAGGGACAGCUGUAAGAAUUUUGCUGAGUGGUGUGGAGACUGAGGAGAGCUCCAAGGCUGAUCCAAGCCACAUUCUCUGAUGACAGAAGAAGGGACUGCGUUAAAAAAAGGCAGCAGCAUCAGUUCUGCAUCAGUGCAAGACUCUCCAAAAGAGGAUAGAUGCCCAUUAAAGGCAAUUCAGGAAUUUUCUGGAACAGGCAGGAAGAUCUGUGCCAGUCUAAAUUUGCAAAUAAAACAUCAGAGUAAAGUUAGCUUUUGGCAAGGGAAAUGCAUUCCCUACCUUAGCUGUGUAUUAAUUAACCAGGCCUUUUACUUCAGGGAAUAAAAUAUUGCCCUUUGCUGUUUACAGCACUUUCUGCUAACACACUCUCUGUUUACUAACCAAAGUUUUAAAUUGACUGCUAAUUUUGUGUUGGGUCAAAUUAAUUUUGAAACCAGAUUAAUUAAAGUAGAUGAAGCUUUGUUUAUCCAUUAUUAAUGAAGCACAUUGGAACAGGAGAGAGUACAUUAGCUUUAUUUAGGAUAUUACUUUAAUGAACUCUAUUUUUUGACUCUUAGUGCUCCUUUUGAGCAGGAGUUCAGGUUUGUGUUGUUGGGUGGUUUUAGGUUUUUUUCCUUUGGUGGUCUUAGUGCAAACAAUGGAAUUAGCUGAUUUUCUGGUUCCAGAAUCUACAGCUGACAAUCUCCAGCAGUAACUGCCUCUUGCUGUAAUUCUGCAGAGGGAGAAAAGAGCACAUGUGCAUUCUGAGCAAGGAUCUCCUGCUCAUCCUCUCCUGAUGCAGAUGGAAACUGAAGAGAGGAGAGGAUAUGUUCACUCAGCAUCAGAGCCAGAUAACCCACAGAUAGUCAGAAGAGGCUGCUGGAUAAUUAAAAUAAAACCACCUAACUGAGAGUGUUUGAGUGUCGAUGUGGAUGAUCCAGUGAAGAAUUCUGUUCCUAUUAGAGCAGUGAUUUAUAAAAGCUGAGCUGGACAUGAGGGGGUGUGAAGUAUGGGGUAGGAAGCAUUAUGGGAGCUAUUACAGUGCUCUUUGCACAAAUGGUGUAUCCCCGCUGCAAGUGGUUUGGUUCUAGUAGCUCUAUCUAAAACGAUGUAUUGAGACCUUAGGUACUACUUGUCUCAGAAACUAAUGAUGUUUCUAAGCAAUUGGAAGGCUGGAGUUCCUCAGAGUAUGCAGAAUAAAAGUAGAGCUUUGCUCAAAAUUUGCAGUAACAUCAUAUUUGUAAAUAAAAUUAGCCAAGCAAAUAUAAGUUAAACAAAGGAAAGGUUGUCUUCACAAAAUGAAUUGGACUAGAUUAAACGAAAUACCAAGAUGUCAAUUAAAGAAGAUACGAAGGUAGGUCUGUGUAGAAAGAUAAAAGGAUAGUUUGCAAAUAUGGAAGGCCAAAUAUUUAAAACUGCUAAACCUCCAAUCGUUUUCCUGCAAAACAACAAACUGAUUGACAGAUCUCAUUGCCACAGGAUGUUAAUGGGAACUGAUGAAAUUAAAGAGAGAAGUGGUUACCCAUACAACUUCAGAAAACACCUAGGUACAAUAGUGAGAACACUGUAAAGGGUCCAAAAAUAUAUUUCAAGUUGUGAAACAGCAACAAAAAAUUAGGAUGAAGCUUUCAUAGAAAUAGAAAUACAUUUUCCUUUUACAUAGCUUGGCUGAAGAUACGAUAUUGGCCACUGAAAAAACCCAAAAGAGUAUAAGAAAACACACAUAGCAAUCACUUGAUCCUCUUAACUGUGGUAUCCAAAUAUCUCAUGAUCUCCAUGUAUUUAUCCUCACAAUCCUGUUGUGAAAGUGGGAAAAUAAUUUGUGUUUUAAAAAUGAGGAACUGAGUGGAAAGAAACUAAGGCCGUGAUCCUCAGAAGUAUUUAAGCACCUAGUUACUCUGGUUUCACACAAAGCUGCACUAAUAAGGAACUGAUCUUUAUUCCCAAGCUCUAUUUCCCUUUUCACUGCUGCUCUUUUUAAGAGUAGGUGGUCCAAAUUGACUUUUAUAGCUAUAAUUUUUUGUGUCUAACAACAAGAAAAGUAUUUUUUAUUUGCUUUGGAAGAGAAGGAUGAUUGCUAAGCAAAAGCAUACCCAGCAAGGGGAAUGUGAAGUGGAUAGAGAGAGCAAGGCAAGAAACCAGAAUGAUGAUGUGAGACCUUAUGUUCCCUUUUAUUAGUGCUGUAUUUUCAGAUAGCUAAAGUGCUGUUUUAAUGUCACCACAGAAAGCACAGAAUCUGGAGAAGAGACAAGAAAGAACAAAAGACUGUAAAGUACUGAAUAGGGGGGAUAAAGCUUAGACUAAAGCUACUAGAUAGAUUCACAGCUGUUGAAGACUAAACCUCAUUUAAUGGGGCUGUAUAUCUGUUUUAGUUAUCAUUAUGGUCAAUGUCAUCCAAUAAACUUCUAUUAAGUAGAUGGGUACUGGAGGGCAUACUUCCUGUUUAUGAGCUGGUAAUUACCACAUCUUGAACUAAAUAAGUUUGGAACCGGAAGGCUGAAAUUUUUAUAGGGAAUAAAUUUCUUCAGCCUUGGCAUUUUUUAGCUCUGGAUACCAUGAAACCAAGUUAAGUGGGGAACACCACAGUUUGUGUACAAAAAUCUGAUCACUUGGCUGCUCCAGAACAGCUCUGCUCACUCUCACACUGUUUCCAGAUGCCAGCACACGAAAGAAAAGAUAGUCAAGUUAGUUUUAUUUAGGAACUGCUUUGGCUUUCCCUCUGACCAAUAAUAUUUUUCAUCUGGUAGAACUGGACUAAAGGGGAGCAGCCCUCAGGUCACCCAACUGCUCAUCUGCCAUGCCUGGGGUCAAGAAGGUGAUGGGACUGAUGGCCACUGACUGCCCAAAGAGAGACUAUUUUAAACAAGCUUUAAAACUAGAUGAAGGGAAUUUACUUUGAAACAAGUCAACGCCACUAGAAGAGUUCAGUAAAAGUACGUCAAAGCCUCAGCCUAGAAGGUCUGCAUUUCAUCUGUCUCAUGGCCCUUUUGGUCAGACUACCUUUUGUCACCUAAGACUGAAGGUGAAACCUGGGGUGAAGUGUUGGCUCCUCUGUAGUAUGGAGGAGAUUCACUACCGAUUUAAUGGAGGAGCAGUAUUGAAUGAGAGCUUCAGUGGAUUGAUGCCGCCUUUAUUCCUGCAGGGUCCCUCGUGGAGACGCUCAGGCAGUGGCACUCUGCCAGCACCUACACGUGCACACAAUCUCACCUUCGCAAGCAGUCGCGAACAGCCGCUCACACCCACAGUUUAUGCAGGAACCAGAGAUGGAGAGGCGAGAGGGGUUCUCUGCAUGCGAUUCCGAGGCGUUUAAUCACAACACACCCGAAGGGGGCAGAGGCGAGAAGAACCCAGAACUGAAAGCCCGUGCGGGUUUUAUCCCGAGAGCUCCCAAAGGAAACAGAGAGAUGUGAUGCCUGCCAGCUCAUAGCCCUAAGACAGCUUUCCCAUCGAUCUGCAUGGGAAGGGGAACCCGUUGCCCUCAGUUCAUCUGUUUGUUUUGUGAGAGCAGUGUUCCCACCACUGCUCUGUCCCUGUGCCAGCCUCUCCACGCCGCAGCCCCCGGUGCGGUGCUGGUGGACCUGCAUGAGAGCCCUCCUGGAGACGGUGGUGCUGCUGCCCUGACAGCCCAAAGUGAAGCCGAAAGUGAAGUUUCUCACUGCCAUGCAAUGAAUGAAAUAUGAAGAGAGAAAAAACCCCUCAUCCUGCUUUUGAAAAUGAAGAUAACAGGACCGAAGAAGUAGGCACAGAAGAAAAAUGUCAAAAAGGCCCACAGUGUGGCUCAGUUGGGCGCUCUGAACUUGUCUUCUCAUCAAGAUCUCUCGUCAUCUCAUCAUCAUCAAGAGCAGUCCCAUCGCCAGAUCUACAAGUCCCAGGGUGAUAUAUUUGCCUCACAGGUGCUGGAACACUGCCCUGGAUGGUCUCACCACCUUCCCACCUUCCCCCUCUGCCCUUAAACCAAGCAUUGGAAGAGAGGAUGAUGAGCUCCACAAAAAUGAAGAUAAGGGCAAAAAAUCCGAGCACACCGUCUGUCUAAUGCCUGGCACAGAGCCAGGUUGCCAUGCAUUUAGAGCAAAGGGUACACGCAAGUAUUUAUUUAUUGAUUGAGAAAUGGUGCAGUGUUUCUCCGACUCGCUAUCAGUUUCCAAAUCUGAUCUAAAUAAACUCUUCCAGUGCGUAAAUCCAGGCAAAAUGUCAUUCACCAUAUGUUUAUUACUAAAACUUGGAGCUUGUUUGCAUCAAAGUAGUUUUCACACACAGGCUGUUUGUUACAAAACCUCAGUGAGGCAGGUAUAAUUAGCACUAGCGCUUGAGGGGGAAAGCUGGGGCUGAGAGCAGAGAAAAUAAUUUCCUCGCUGCUGCAGAGGGAGUCAGCAUGGGGAUUUGGAUUAGAAACAGCCUUGCCUACCUUCCCAUUUUCUUCAUGCAGAUGGCUAGAUUUGCAUCUUUUAUUAAUUUAUAACAAUUGGACAAAUUUUACCUGGCUCAUUUCUUAAAGAUCUUAAAAUGCUUGUAAGACUAGCUUAGAAAUAUCCAAAACUAUGGGCUUCCUACCCAAAUGGCCAUUACUACCUUGCAAGAAAGAGGUGUGAUUAGUUGCUGUAUGCCAUUUUGCAUACAAUUAAUGCUUAUCAGCUGGAACACAAAACACUCUCUGAAUACAUCAUUUAUAUGUGCUUUAUAAAUGAUCCACUCUCCUAAAGCUGGCAUAACUCAUUCUGAUGAAGUCAUGCAAAGAGCCUCACAGAAAUUAGUAGCUAAAGUAAGAGCAUUUUGUAUGAAACUCCUCCAACCCUUUACAUAUCACCACUAGGAUUAUUAUCAAGUUCUCAGAGAUGCUGGAGUUUCAAAUUAAGUUUUUUAGCUCUAAGGAGGCAAAAAUAACAGAUCUUCUUCCUUUUUUUCACUUCAGUGUUUAUAUGUGAGCAAACAAAAUGAUGGGCUGAUUUUUGAUAUUUUCUUGUCUGCAAAACAGACCUAUUAAAAGAUUAAAUUCAUGUCCACAUAUCCCCCUUUAGGUAAAUUCCUAAUAAAUAUGAAUCCUAAGCCUAACUGUUUGGAGGCACUUGAACAAGUUAUAAAAUAAUAAAAUGCGAUCCUGCUGCACAUACUGUCCUUCAGCAAGUGCUCAGAGAAUUAGAGCUCCUGGUUUGUGGUUUCAAAACAGGCACCUGUGUGUUGCAGUGCCUACCUUGCAAUAGAGUUUAUGUCUUUCAGAGUUCCCAUCGUGUAUUGGCUGCUCCUGUUGAAUCCAAUGGGGUGGCUCUUUGGAUCAUGCUCAGAUGGAGGAAAGGUAUUGGAGCCCAGGAUUAAUUGGUAGCAACUGCAAGUGCAGAAGGAUGGUGCGGUUGAUGUGAAAUGUAUGAUGUACACAAUGUCACUCAGUCAGGCAUUUCCCUGGGUCUUAGUGCAGUAUCAAAGUUAAAUUAAUCUAGUUCCCAUUCCCAAGAACUGGAAGCUGGGAAGUUAUCAGUAAAUGUAAGGAAUAUUACACAUGAUGCUACUGUAAUUUGGUUAUAGAGCAUACUACUUUAAAAGCCCUUAUGUUACUAUUUCAAAAAGCAUUUUUAGUGCAUCCAAAGAGCUACUUGUGCCUUUACAGAGAGGACAUUACCUGUCUUGUUUUCAUCGUUGUGCAAAAAAGAAGAAAUAAAAGCUAGAUAAAUUAUAUUUUCAUCAA